GUUCAUUGGACAUACUUGAUCUAUAUUUAGAGUUCAUACAAUUUACAGUUGAACACCUAGAUUCACAUAUUCAAGUAGUUGCAGAUGUACUUAAUUUUUUUUUCAAUAAUUGAAACCAGUAUCAGUUUUUAAAUUAAAAUUAAUUAAAACCCAGUUCCUCUGUCACACUAGCCACAUGUUCGAUAGCCACAUGUGGCUGGGGGCUCCUGUAUUGUACAGCACAGGCCUGCCUGUUUCUAGCUCGAGAGCCAGUCUCAGUCAUAAAAAUAUCUUCUGGAAGAGUGCUGGGUUCUUUACGAGGUGUCAAAGGGAAAGGAGAAAAUGAUAGCUUGAUAAAUCUAGGCUCUCUUCUGUGACUCAAAUACACAUUCUGCCCCUUUGGAUGAAAUCCUGAAUUUUAAAGUUCAGUGACUGUACCCAAAGGAAAUGUCAUGUAUGGAAAAAUGUUUCCAUUGUGUCUUGGAGAAGUCACUGGCUCAGUUCCACAGCUCAUUUUGUACUAAACUUGCACAAUUUUUAAAAUUGUUUUAACAAGUGCAGAAUACAAAUUGUACUUCUUGGGAAAUAGUAGAAUAUUAUGCUUUCAGGCUACUGAAAUGACCUGGACUUUCGAAGGUGCAUCUCUCUGGUUUUCUUUCAGCAGAGGGCCAGCCUUGGGGAGACAUGAGCUCUUGCCACUGAGUAAGUUAUUCUCGUGCUUGCCCCUGUGUUUCUUGAGACUCAUCUUCCUACCUCUACUCUGUGUAUUUUCUGCAGUUGGUUCUUAUGUUGUAAAUGUGAGCAACCCGUUAAAUAAUGCUGAGGAAUACAACGAGAUUCUCAUUAUAGAUGCUUACAUCUAGGUUUUCAUCAAUUGGAGUAAUAACAUCUGCCACAUUUUGAGUCUUUGCAAGAGGCCAGGAGUGAAGUCCAGUGUAUUAGAUGAGAACAUUGAAGUCCAAACAGAUGAAGUCCAUUGCCCAAGGUCACACAAGAGCCACAUAACCCUGUUUCAAUGCAACAGCAAGUCAGUCAAGGGCCAGAGCCUGUUGGGCCUUUGGAAACAAACGAAGUCAGAUCAGCUGGUUGAAUGAAAGGGGAAAGAGGUAAUUCUAAAAGCCUGGUAACGCGUUUACAUUGAACUUCAGAACACUUCUUACACUAUGUAUUUAA